rnacentral:rRNA from 1 species
UACGUAGGGUGCAAGCGUUGUCCGGAAUUAUUGGGCGUAAAGAGCUCGUAGGUGGUUCGGUAAGUCGGAUGUGAAAUCUCCAGGCUCAACCUGGAGGGGUCAUUCGAUACUGCCGUGACUAGAGGUCGGUAGGGGAGUGUGGAAUUCCUGGUGGAGCGGUGAAAUGCGUUGAUAUCAGGAGGAACACCCAUGGCGAAGGCAGCUAACUGGGCAUUAUCUGACGCUGAGGCGCGAAAGCGUGGGUAGCAAACAGG